GAGACUUGGCACCUCUGUGUGAUGAAAUCCAAAUACUGGCUGUGGUUACGGAACUGAGCAAAAUACAGAGCAGAUGAAGAGAUGCAGAGCUGUAGCUUGCGGGGCCUCAUUGUUCGGGAACACCGCGUAACAAAAAGAAAAGCCAUGCACUGAGGAGCUGCUGUGUCUGCAAGGGAUCUCUUCAAAACAGAAACCAAACAAAACUGAACAAACCCAACAAUUUACUCUGCAGCCAACAAUGGCCUCUGCCAAAGUCUUGUACCUGGCAGCAUUCGACAGGAUCUCCCUGUGCCCUCCUGCCACCAUGAGAAAAGAGCUUGAGCACACUUUGCUUUCCAGGCUUCGCAUUUACAGAUUCUCCAGCUGGCUCCUGAAGGAGGUUCAUGAACUCUGCUGCACACAGCGAGUCGCUUCUUGCCUACACAUAGUUUUAAUUGUAGUAUUUAGCAAUUGGUUUAGUCUCCUAAUUGCAAAAAGUAUAACAUCUCUGCCAAAAAUAUCAUAAAUGAUGAUAACUCUUGAGUAUUUCUCAUAUCUCUAUCUCAGUAUUUGAAUCUUGGUUAUGCCUUACCCUCCCCUAUUCUUAGGACAGUGUAUUCCUCAUUUUAAUUCUGUGCUUUCCAGAGAAGUACUACAUAAUUUCUUUGGGUAUUGCCUGUGCUUUAUUGCAGUGACAGUAGAAUCCAGGACAGGAUGAAGAAAGGGCCCCAUCUAGGUUUUUCAGAACAUGCAAUACUAUAUAUAUUUCCAUCAAAUCCAGGACUAUCUUUCACUUCUCUAAUGUUAGCAAUUCCAGUCUUUAUGAACUUGCUUGACAGGAGAAGCUGCUUUUUGGCUAAUCCUACUUCUACCCUCACUGAGAUGGCUACUCCUCCCCAUCCUCAUGAAGGAAAUUUACCUUGCUCUUGGCUGCCCCUGACCAGGAGGUUUACUCCAAGAUCUCUGUCUUACCCUCUCUUUCCUCCAAUUGAAAUGGUUGUCAGGACCUUGUCUGGUAUAAGACUGGUUACAUUUUGCUUGUCAAAAAGAUGCUUUUUCUGUUUUACGUUUAGCUUUUAUUCUUGCAUUUUAUGUUUGCCUGACCUCAUAAUCCACCCUGGCCCGCAUGAAGCCCUAAAUAACCUUAUCACCUGUUAGUGUUAGUAUUACAGUAUGUUUGUUAAGCAGUACACUGUUUCAAGUCUCUUGUUGAUGGCUGCUGCACAGAGAAUUUAUUGUUUAAACCCAUCUUUUGUUUUCCAGACUGUUUCUGAUCUUGUUUCCAUUCCUUACCUUUCUCCCCAUGAGUAUGUAAUAAGACUGUAACAUGUAAUGUAAUAUGUAUGUUUAUAUGACUCCUUGAAAAGACAUUGCAGGCUCUGUCGGGGCAGGAGCUCAGUGAGUUUCAGAAGGAAACUUUCUAGUCCCACCGACUGGGUCACCAAUAGGAAGUGUUGUCUUCAGAAGGGAUGGAAAUCCAGCAGUUGCAGUUUCAGACUCGCCCAGCUGUAAGCUGAAAAAUAUCUACAGAAGCUUGCUAAAAAUAUCUGUCAAAAGUUUGAUUUAUGACAAAGUAAAAAUGCUGUUUGAAACAUACUGAACCCCGGUUUUGAAGCCUGUUUGGAAAACUUUUUAACCUGAAGCUGGCUUUACCUGAUGUUUAUCUGCCAUAUUAUAAAAUUAUAGAAUGGCUUGAAUUGGAAUGGACCAAAAAUCAUCCUGUUCUAACCCCCUCACCACUCGUUCUUGCUUCUCUACCACUGCUACUAGAGCCUCUCUUCCAUAUUUUUUUGGUGCAAUGCUGUCUUCAGUGUCAGCACAGACAAAUUUCAAAGUCAGACUCCACUCUUCUCCGUUAUUACUUCUAUUACAAAUAUUUGUGAUUUUUUUGUCCAUUUUAAAAUUUGGGAUAUGCCAUGGCACAAUCUUAUGAGGUUUGUAAUUCUGCAGCCUCAGUAUUUUGUCAUGUGGGUAACAUUAAUCAGGAUCACUUGGUCUUUGAGGCAACAUAACAACCAUCUUCAACCUAAGUAUUUUCAUUAGUUCUUUUCUGUGCAUGAAAGGACUGGAGAGACUGCA